AGCAUCCGUAGCUCGUUUUGUAAGUUUUCGGUUAAAUCCAUGCGCUUAACGUAUGGGCUGCCGGAAAUACUGUUCAGCUAGGGAGUGGGAGAGGUAGACGGUACUCGAUAGGAAGGGGUAAAAUCCUUUGAUCUAUUGAUGACCACCUGUGGCGAAGGCGGUCUACCAGAACACGUUCGACGGUGAGGGAUGAAAGCUGGGGGAGCAAACCGGAUUAGAUACCCGGGUAGUCCCAGCUGUAAACGAUGCAGACUCGGUGAUGCAUUGGUUUAUGGCCAGUGCAGUGCCGCAGGGAAGCCGUUAAGUUUGCCGCCUGGGAAGUACGUACGCAAGUAUGAAACUUAAAGGAAUUGGCGGGGGAGCACAAGCCG
rnacentral:rRNA from 2 species